rnacentral:rRNA from 1 species
AUGAAUAUUUUGUCUUGGAACUGUCGGGGGGGGAACCGCCGGACAGUUCGUGAGGUUUUAGCCCUCUCAAAAGCCAAUAAACCCAAGCUAGUCUUUCUGUGUGCGACUAGACAGGAGGAUUCUAAGGUUGAGAAAAUGAAGUGGAGACUAGGCCUAAAAGGCUUUGAUGGAGUCAGUAGUGAUGGAAGCAGUGGAGGUCUUGCGUUGUUCUGGGAUGAG